UACAGAGGUCUCAAGCGUUGUUCGGAUUCAUUGGGCGUAAAGGGCGCGUAGGCGGCGGGGUAAGUCGGGUGUGAAAUCUCAGAGCUCAACUCUGAAAUGGCACUUGAUACUGCUCUGCUAGAGGACUGGAGAGGAGAUUGGAAUUCACGGUGUAGCAGUGAAAUGCGUAGAUAUCGUGAGGAAGACCGGUGGCGAAGGCGGCAUCCUGGACCGACACUGACGCUGAUGAGCGAAAGCUAGGGGAGCAAACGGG
rnacentral:rRNA from 1 species